GACGAACGCUGGCGGCGUGCUUAACACAUGCAAGUCGAACGGAAAGGCCCUGCUUUUGUGGGGUGCUCGAGUGGCGAACGGGUGAGUAACACGUGAGUAACCUGCCCUUGACUUUGGGAUAACUUCAGGAAACUGGGGCUAAUACCGGAUAGGAGCUCCUGCUGCAUGGUGGGGGUUGGAAAGUUUCGGCGGUUGGGGAUGGACUCGCGGCUUAUCAGCUUGGUGGUGGGGUAGUGGCUUACCAAGGCUUUGACGGGUAGCCGGCCUGAGAGGGUGACCGGCCCCAGUGGGGCUGGGAUACCGCCCCGAACCCUCCGGGAGGCCGCAGUUGGGAAUUUUUCCCAAUGGGCGGAAGCCUGCUUCCGCCACCCCGCGUGCGGGAGUACGGCCUUCGGGUUGUAAACCGGUUUCGGCCUGGGCGAAAGGUGAGUGAACGGAAUGGGUAAAAAAACCCCCGCCAACCUCCGU
rnacentral:rRNA from 1 species